GCAAAGCUAAUUUACCAAUUGGCCUUUCCUGCCAUUCUUACUAUCAAACACAAAAAUAACAUUACUAUUCUAUUAUUGCUUCAAAUAAGUGGAAUAUAUUUCUCCAUAAAUUUGGAUGUUGUAAUGUACAGAAAUUGUAGCACUCACUCUUCGUCAUCUUUAAAAUGACUAGCGGAUGUAAAUUUGAACUAAAUUUAUAUGAAUAGGAAUAUAAAGUAUCAGUUACCUU
rnacentral:lncRNA from 1 species